ACUAAUUUAUUCUAUGGCUUAAGUAGCUAAUGCCCAUUCAUCUAAUAAAAUUACAAAUCAAUUAGUAAGGCUAAUACAUCAUAAUUCAAGCAAAUAUUGAAACAAUAUUCACAAUCCAAAAUUUGUAAUAAAAUGAGUAAAGCAAAAUUUAAAUAAACCUUCUUAUGUAAAAGAAAAUUUCCGAACCAUAAAAAAUGACAGUUUGAAGGACAAAACUCUAUAGAUAAUGAAAAUUCAAUUGAAAAAUUUAUUUAGAAAAAGUUCG
rnacentral:misc_RNA from 1 species